UACAGAGGUGGCAAGCGUUGUUCGGAAUUACUGGGCGUAAAGGGCGCGUAGGCGGCCUUCUAAGUCAGACGUGAAAUCCCCAGGCUUAACUUGGGAACUGCGUCUGAUACUGGGAGGCUUGAGUGCGGGAGAGGGAUGUGGAAUUCCAGGUGUAGCGGUGAAAUGCGUAGAUAUUGGGAGGAACACCAGUGGCGAAGGCGGCUACCUGGACCGGUUCUGACGCUGAGGCGCGAAAGCGUGGGUAGCAAACAGG
rnacentral:rRNA from 1 species